UUUUAAAGUAUGCGGCUCUUUAUAUUUUAUUAUAAUAUUUAUCUAUUGCAUUAUUUCUUAAAAAGAUAUAAAGACUGGUUUAUCAGAAGAAGGGAAAGCUACCUUACUCACGAAAAUGUCUUUGGAAAAAGGGAAGCCAUAUCCUGUCACAUAGAAGAUACAAUAUUCGUUGCACCACCGAACUUAUGACAAGUGAUUUAUUUAUUCCAAUUAUGUUUGCACCCAUUGCUUGUGCGACAGCAUUGAAAAUAUUACAUUCUCCAUGGAGGUGAAUUAAUUUGGCGUCAACAAUGUGCGAGAUUUAAUACCAAAUGGACAAUAAUACCAUUAUUGUUACGGAAAAGACCAAACUUGAAUAUAUUAGGCUCAUGUGUCAAAUGAAAAUGACUGGAGCUAUUUGUAAGCAGUCUAUUCUUGGAAGGAUUUUAUGAUAUUAUGCUUAAACGACCAAUUUUCAUAUUUAAUGAACAAGAACUUGAACUAUUGAUCAGUGGCUUGCCUACUGUAAAUAUCUUAAAGGAGGAUCUUAAAGCAAAUAUUGAGUAUCAUAAAUACACUGCUACAUUUUUAUAGAUUCAAUGGUUCUGCUGCAUUGCGAGGUUUUAAUCAAGCGGAUUGUUCGAAGUUCUUACAAUUCAUCACUGGUACAUCUAAAGUGCCGUUACAAGGUUUUGCUGCGUUAAAAGGCAUGAACGGCAUACAAAAGUUCUAAAUUCACAGAGAAGACAAGUUGACAGACAGGCUUUCAUUUGCACAUAUUUGUUUCAAUCAACUAGAUUUGCCAGUGUACGAGACGUAUGAUAAACUCUGAACAAAUCUACUCAAGUCGACUUACGAAUGCACCAAAGAAUUUGGAUUUGCAUAAGCUUACCAGAAUUUGCUCCUGUACAAUUUCGAUUUCAUGCGUUCAAUCGAUGAUAUUCUAGAGACCAAACUUAUGGUUGGAUCUUUACAGCCAGUGAUAACAUUCCGGACGUGCAAUGGCCUAUUGCUUGCAAAAUUUUUAACGUGCUUACAAAAAUUGUUAUACGCAAUGCUAUUUGUAAAACUAUCUUGUGAACGUAGCGAAUCACAGUGCUCUAAUUGCUAUAAUAUGUAUUAUUACACUUAUACGAUUUUAUAAAUACGAAAUAUAUAUUUUCAUUUUAUCAUACACAUUAACUCUCAUGUAAUUAAUGGACAAUAAUUUAUUCGUUAAUAUAUACGCUAAUAAAUACGCUGAUUUUAAAAUGCA